rnacentral:rRNA from 1 species
UACGUAGGGAGCAAGCGUUGUCCGGAAUCAUUGGGCGUAAAGCGCGCGUAGGCGGCCCUGUAAGUCCGUUGUGAAAGUCAAAGGCUCAACCUUUGAAAGCCGAUGGAUACUGCAGGGCUAGAGUCCGGAAGAGGCGAGUGGAAUUCCUGGUGUAGCGGUGGAAUGCGCAGAUAUCAGGAGGAACACCAAUAGCGAAGGCAGCUCGCUGGGACGGUACUGACGCUAAGGCGCGAAAGCGUGGGGAGCAAA